rnacentral:rRNA from 1 species
UACGAGGGGGGCAAGCGUUUGUUCGGAAUUAUUGGGCGUAAAGGGUGCGUAGGCGGUUUGAUAAGUCAUCUGUGAAAUCUCUGGGCUCAACCCAGAGUCUGCAGGCGAAACUGUCGGGCUUGAGUAUGGGAGAGGUGAGUGGAACUGCGAGUGUAGAGGUGAAAUUCGUAGAUAUUCGCAAGAACACCAGUGGCGAAGGCGGCUCACUGGCCCGGUACUGACGCUGAGGUGCGAAAGCGUGGGGAGCGAACAGG